GGUCUCGUAGCUCAGCUGUUAGAGCGUGCACGGUACACAAACGUAGGCUGCAUCCAUGUGUGGGUUCGAAUCCCACCGAGGCUA
rnacentral:tRNA from 1 species